UACGAAGGGGGCUAGCGUUGCUCGGAAUCACUGGGCGUAAAGGGUGCGUAGGCGGGUCUUAAGUCAGGGGUGAAAUCCUGGAGCUCAACUCCAGAACUGCCUUCGAUACUGGCGAUCUCGAGUCCGGGAGAGGUGAGUGGAACUCCGAGUGUAGAGGUGAAAUUCGUAGAUAUUCGCAAGAACACCAGUGGCGAAGGCGGCUCACUGGCCCGAUACUGACGCUGAGGCACGAAAGCGUGGGGAGCAAACAGG
rnacentral:rRNA from 1 species